CGUGGGUAACCUGCCCAAGAGAUCGGGAUAACACCUGGAAACAGAUGCUAAUACCGGAUAACAACAGAUGAUGCCUAUCAACUGUUUAAAAGAUGGUUCUGCUAUCACUCUUGGAUGGACCUGCGGUGCAUUGGCUAGUUGGUAGGGUAACGGCCUACCAAGGCGAUGAUGCAUAGCCGAGUUGAGAGACUGAUCGGCCACAUUGGGACUGAUACACGGCCCAAAUUCCUACGGGAGGCAGCAGGG
rnacentral:rRNA from 1 species